rnacentral:rRNA from 1 species
UUUUAUGGAGAGUUUGAUCCUGGCUCAGGAUGAACGCUGGCGGCGUGCCUAAUACAUGCAAGUCGAGCGAACAGACGAGGAGCUUGCUCCUUUGACGUUAGCGGCGGACGGGUGAGUAACACGUAGGUAACCUACCUAUAAGACUGGGAUAACUUCGGGAAACCGGAGCUAAUACCGGAUAAUAUUUCGAACCGCAUGGUUCGAUAGUGAAAGAUGGCUUUGCUAUCACUUAUAGAUGGACCUGCGCCGUAUUAGCUAGUUGGUAAGGUAACGGCUUACCAAGGCAACGAUACGUAGCCGACCUGAGAGGGUGAUCGGCCACACUGGAACUGAGACACGGUCCAGACUCCUACGGGAGGCAGCAGUAGGGAAUCUUCCGCAAUGGGCGAAAGCCUGACGGAGCAACGCCGCGUGAGUGAUGAAGGUCUUCGGAUCGUAAAACUCUGUUAUUAGGGAAGAACAAACGUGUAAGUAACUGUGCACGUCUUGACGGUACCUAAUCAGAAAGCCACGGCUAACUACGUGCCAGCAGCCGCGGUAAUACGUAGGUGGCAAGCGUUAUCCGGAAUUAUUGGGCGUAAAGCGCGCGUAGGCGGUUUUUUAAGUCUGAUGUGAAAGCCCACGGCUCAACCGUGGAGGGUCAUUGGAAACUGGAAAACUUGAGUGCAGAAGAGGAAAGUGGAAUUCCAUGUGUAGCGGUGAAAUGCGCAGAGAUAUGGAGGAACACCAGUGGCGAAGGCGACUUUCUGGUCUGUAACUGACGCUGAUGUGCGAAAGCGUGGGGAUCAAACAGGAUUAGAUACCCUGGUAGUCCACGCCGUAAACGAUGAGUGCUAAGUGUUAGG